rnacentral:piRNA from 1 species
GGAAUUCGGUUCGUGCACUUGCUAGCCUG